AAUAGAGGUUGGUGGUGCAAGAGACAUUGAAUUAGAACUUCUUAUGAUAAAGUAGACAUUAAUGAAAAAAUUCAAGAAGGGGCCUCAUUUCUACCUCUAUUUAUACUAGAAAUACUUUUAACCAUAGCCUUCGAGUUGAUGUAAUUUUGUAUCUAACCCUAAGAUAGUUUUGUCCAAAAUAGUUGUCAAUUUACAUGUCUAAGGUCAUUAUUUGAAAGGAUGCUCAAUUGAAGAAAUUCCUGUAGAAAUAAAAAAAUUAAUACACUUGAGGUAUCUUGAUUUGUCCAACAAUGGAAACAUAAAAGAAUUGCCUGAGACGUUGUGAGGUAUAUAAUCUACAAACAUUAACCAUCAAUUGGUGUCAACAUAUCAAAAAACCACGCAAGGAAUUGGAAACUUGAUCAAAUUGGAGACAUUUGUUAAGCUGGGGGACUCUAGUAUAAGUUACAUGCCAAAAAGUUUUGAGAGAUUAACAAGUAUGCGAACAUUAGAAAGAUUUGUUAUAAGUGAGGGCAAUAAUGAUAGCAAAUCAUGUUUUGUUGAAUGCCUUAAAAACUUCAAAACCUUCGAGAAUUUGGUAUAAAAGGGUUGGGAAAUUUGAGAGAUGUGGAUGAGGUUAAGCGAAUAGAGCUAAACAAUAAGAAAAACUUGCGUGUUUGUGUUGUAGACUUUGAGGGGAGGAUGACUGAGAGCAAAAUCAAGAACUUCUUGAGGAUUGCAGCCACAUCCAAAUUUAGAGAAGUUAGCGCUACUAAAUUACAAAGGCUACACUAUGUUCCCUAAUUGGAUGAUGUCAUCUACAAAUUGAGAAAGUUAUCUCUUUUAGUUGUAUAAACUGCAAGCUUCUGCCUCCUUUGGGUAAGUUACAUCCCUUGAAAUUUUCAAAUAUCGGAAAGAUAAGUGUGAAAAGAGUGGGUAAUGAGUUUCUAGGAAUAGAGAGUGAUGUCAGUCAUCAUCUUCAUCAAUUAUUGUUUCCCAAACUGAAAUUCUUUCCCUCGAGGAGAUGUACGAAUGGGAAGAGUGGAAUUAUGAGAUUACAAAGGAGGAGAUGAAGAUAUUACAGUCGCCAUCUCUUCAGACCUUGAACAUAUUAGAUUGCCGCAAAUUGAAGUCUCUACCAAACUACCUUCAUCAGGUGACAACUUUGAAGAAAGAAAUAGAAGGAGUCCACUUUCAAGAACAGAAAAUCGAUAGCUUAUGAUAAUCUUCGUCUGAUAUUGAUUAAGUCUCUGAAAUUAUCAACUUCAACACUAAUAUUCCUUCAAACCACUGGGUCUCUGUUGAAGUGAAGAACAUAGCAAGAAAUGUCUAUUAGAACCAGAAAUUAGUGGUUGUUACGUUCCCUAAAGAAAUUGAGUGAAUUGAUAGCUCAUCAUCAUUCCUCCAGUUCUGACCAACAUCUCUCAAGUCUAACUUCAACUUUUAUUCUGCAAGGAACAACCUUUGAAUUCUCAAAAUGCUACAAUCGUGAUCAAUGCCGCAACAACCAGGAAAUCCUCAUGGAGACAUCUUGUGAAAGAAGUGUUGAAUAUGAGGCACCAUUGCAAUUUUAAAACUGAAAAGGCUCCUUCAGCUUGCCGUGGUUUUAUUGAGCAAUUGGUGUGCUAGUUGUUGGAUGUGAAUUGGACACGGUUAGUCGCCCUAGGGGAGAUUAAUUAGUUUCUCAGCUGAGCUAGUGUUCUCUGGCAUACAAAAGAGAGAAUAUCAAGAGGCGACCAACUGUAGGUUUGGGAACAUUGCAGCCUCUCUAUUGAAGUGAAGAACAUCUC